AGUGAACGCUGGCGGUAGGCCUAACACAUGCAAGUCGAACGGCAGCACAGUAAGAGCUUGCUCUUACGGGUGGCGAGUGGCGGACGGGUGAGGAAUACAUCGGAAUCUACUUUUUCGUGGGGGAUAACGUAGGGAAACUUACGCUAAUACCGCAUACGACCUACGGGUGAAAGCAGGGGAUCUUCGGACCUUGCGCGAUUGAAUGAGCCGAUGUCGGAUUAGCUAGUUGGCGGGGUAAAGGCCCACCAAGGCGACGAUCCGUAGCUGCUCUGAGAGGAUGAUCAGACACACUGGAACUGAGAAACGGUCCAGACUCCUACGGGAGGCAGCAGUGGGGAAUAUUGGACAAUGGGCGCAAGCCUGAUCCAGCCAUACCGCGUGGGUGAAGAAGGCCUUCGGGUUGUAAAGCCCUUUUGUUGGUAAAGAAAAGCAGCAGGUUAAUACCCCGCUGUUCUGACGGUACCCAAAGAAUAAGCACCGGCUAACUUCGUG
rnacentral:rRNA from 1 species